GCAGCGGACCUCCGCGCGCCUUUCCUGAGAAACUACGUAGAGGCUGGAUCCGGGGCCCGGGAGUUGGGUCCUUCCUUAGCCAAGGGAAGGACUCUCUUUCAAUUCAACAUUAUCUGUACCUGCAGGCAGUCUUCUAAAUUGACAGCACCAUCUGUCAUGGAGGUGUUUCGGUCUUCUUCACGGUGUCUCAUCAUGUCCAGUAUCCACUCCAAAGGAGCUGAAGAAUACAGUUCUCAGAGAGCAGUUGGGUCUGAGCAUAAAAGCCCAUCAAUAAGGAGCAGGGGCAGCCAGAAGUCAUAUGGUGAGGACACUCAAGCAGCCCUCUGGAGAAGCCUGUGUGGCAGGGAACUGAGGUCUCCUGCCAGCCACCAGCACUGAUUUGCCAGGGAUAACAUUACUACUGUAAAACCUAAGACUGAUGCUCAAGAUAUUUUUCCGAUCCUGUACUCAACGGAUCUGCUGGUGACACACAGAUUAAUAAACAGGCUCAUCUGGUCUUUGGCCCCCACCCCGAGAUCCACGCAGCACAAGAGAACAGCUUCAACCCCUAUGAUUGCAUCUCCAACCUGCCCAAUCAGUACUCUCCACUCUCUGGCCCCCUACCCAGCAAAUUAUCCUUAAUAAAACCUGGUCUCUGAAUUUUCAGGGAGACAGAUUUGAGUAAUAAUACAACUCUGGUCUCCCAUUCAGCCGGCUCGGCAUGAAUUAAACUCUCUAUUGCAAUUCCCGUCUCGAUAAAUACACUCUAUCUGGGCAAUG